CAAGGGCAGGAAGUAUUCGCCUAUUUCUGUCACCCUCUCUUUGCCCUGCUGUUCAGUGGUCAAUUUUUUUCGUGCUCCUCUUAUUCGUUCAGGUAACUCUGUCUGGCUCAGCACAGUUCGUGCAUGUGCGUGCUUCAUUGGUUGUUUGAACUCGCAUUCGACUCUCUGUCUGCUCUCCGCGUCUCUCUAUUUUUAUUUCCUAGCCCUCUUGCUUUUCCCACGUCAGUGUGGUCUGUGCGUCUGCGCGCGUGUGUGUGUAUGAGAAGGAAAAGGAAGGAGGGAGUGCACCAGCAGGGCUUUUGCAGUGCACCGCUGUCUGUCACCUUAUCUAUCUUUUUUUUUUCGUUGUGGGGGAUUGAAUCCAUAAAUAUCGAUACAUAUAUGCAUUUAUAGAUAUAUCCAUCAAAGUAUAUAUGCAUGUGCGUAUACAAACACACACACACACACGUACAUGCAUAUUCCCCCUUCCCCUCUUUUUCUUUCUUUUUGUUUGUACAACGCUGGCGCGUUGUUUUAGCUGGCCGCCAAACAUCCCUUUUCCCAUCCAUCCAUUGAUAUAUAUAUAUAUAGCUGCUGCGUGGCCAUCAUAAUGCGCCGCGUCUGCACGGAUCUUCCGCACCCGACGCAGUUCGUGGAACACGUCUACAUCACCCUCAAAGAUAACAUCCGCCUUGCCGCACGACUCUUUAUGCCGAAAGAUGCAUCGUCGGAGCACCGCUAUCCGGCCAUUCUGGAGUACAUCCCGUACCGCAAGCGCAACGGCACCCGCAUCCGUGAUGAGCCUAUGCACGGCUUCUUUGCCGGCCACGGCUACGUCGCAGUGCGCGUUGAUAUGCGCGGCGCCGGUGAGUCGGAUGGCCUGCUGCUCGACGAAUACCUCAAGCAGGAGCAGGACGAUGCGCUCGAGGUGAUUGAUUGGAUCAGCAAGCAGCCGUGGUGCACCGGCGACGUUGGCAUGAUGGGCAAGUCGUGGGGUGGUUUCAACUCGCUGCAGGUGGCCGCUCGCCGUCCUCCCGCGCUGCGCGCCAUCAUUGUUCUCGGCUUCACACACAACCGCUUCACCGACGACAUCCACUGGAAGGGAGGGUGCCUGCUGAACGACAACUUCUGGUGGGGAUGCGUCAUGCAGGGCUUCCAGUCAUGUCCGCCCGACGGCGACAUUGUCGGCGAUCGCUGGAAGGAGAUGUGGCUGGAGCGGCUGGACAAGAUGCCUCUGAACGCCGCUGACUGGGCUGAGCACCAGCGGUACGACGCUUACUGGCAGCACGGGUCGAUCCAGGAGGACUACAGCUCCAUCCAGGUGCCGGUGCUCCUCGUCGAUGGCUGGGCGGACUCGUACACGAACGCCCUCUUUCACCUGCUGGAGGGGCUGAAGGUGCCGUGCAAAGCCAUUUGUGGCCCGUGGGCACACGUGUACCCGCAGGACGGCACGCCGCUGCCUCGGAUGAACUUCCUGCGCGCGGCCAAGGACUGGUGGGACUACUGGAUGAAGGGCAUGACGACCAACGACGUGGCGAGCUGGCCGGUGCUCCAGGUCUACAUAGAAGACUCGCUGCCGCCGUGCACAACCAAGCAGAUGGCGCCUGGCAAGUGGGUGGCGAUGGACAAGUGGGUGAACGCUGAGGUGCCGACCGUCGUGUAUGGCCUCGGGGCGGGCCGGCUCCUGACAGAGAUAGGCAAGGACGGCGCCACCACUGCCACCGGCACGGUAAUGGUGCACACGCCGCUGAACCAUGGGCUCAUCUCAGGUGAGUGGAUGGGUGUGGGUACGAUAGGUGAGAAUGCCGGUGACCAGCGCAUCGACAACGGCUUGGCCGUCACCUAUACCUCAGCCCCGCUUACAGCUGCUAUGGAUAUCCUCGGCCAGCCAACUUUCUCUGUGACACUGACCUGCGAUCGGCCGAAGGGAUUCCUGUUCGCCCAGCUGUGCGACAUUGCGCCAGACGGGGCGGCCACGCGCAUCACGUACGGCAUUAAGAACCUGGUUCACUGUGGCCCCGAGGGCGACAGGGCCAUUGCCUUGGUGCAGCCCGGGCAGGCGGUGCAGGUGACGGUGACGAUGGACUUCUGUGGCUACUGCAUCCCGGCCGGCCACAGCGUUUCCCUUUCACUCGCGAACAACUACUGGCCCAUGGUUUGGUGCUCUCCGGCGGACACGACGCUGCUGCUGGACGCCGCAACGGCUGUCUUCCGGGUCCCGGUGCUUCACCCGAGCGCCAUCAUUGUCCCUGGCCCGAAUUCAAUUCCGGAGGUGGCGCCCUCGACUCCCAUGACGGUGAUGGCGCCCAGCCACGUGGAGCGCUCCGUCUCAUACGAGAUCGUGCUGGACACCUGGACAUGCGUCACGAACGUUGUUGGCGGCGUGUUUGGCGAGGGCAUUCCCCGCUUAGACGACAUUGACACAACGGUGGAACACAGUCUGCGCCGUGAGCUGACACUCAGCAACCGCGACCCGCUCUCGGCGCACUACACCAUUAACCAGAAGUUCAAGGUCAGCCGCCCGCACUGCGUCACGGACGUAAAUAUUACGAGUACGCAGCACUGCGAUGCUGACUAUCUCUACAUUCAGUCCAAUAUAAAGGCUGCACACAACGACGAGGGUGUCUUUGAGAAGAGCUUCUGCCGUCGCGUGCGUCGGGAGGCCAUCUAAGCCAUGCCCACUCCCUAGCCGAGUGCCACACACGCACAGAGAGACAGGAGGAGUGCCUCUGCCCCUGUUCACUUCUCACUAUCCUCACAUGCGCGGGCCGGCACACGCACGCUGAUACCUUUAACAAGCAUAGGGCAUGCUAGAGGGCAUUUUUUUUUUGCGCCACGUCGCGCGCAUACGUCCCUAGCGGGCGUGGACACGCCUGCUUGUGUGCGUGCGCGCGCGUGUGUGCUCCGCACACGUUUGGCUCGUCUUUUUUUUUUCGUCUCUGUGAUUGGGCGUCGGCGGUAUCGUUAAAGUGGGGUUUCUCUCUUCUUCCUGCACGCGCUUUUAUUGCUGUUGUUGUAUGUGCGUGUAGGUGAGUGUGUGGGCGCCUGCUUUCUCUGCGGGUUUGUGUGCGAGGUGCUUGCACUCGUAUGUGUGUUGGGGCCCUGCUCUGUGUCUCCGUUUCUCUUCCUCUCAGUGCUCUUGUUUAUUUUAUUCGUCCUUUCGUUGUUUCAUCAUCCAUUAGGGUUUCUCUUUGCUUGAGUUUUUCGUCUUUAACGGUCUUGUCCAUGUGCAUGUGUCGUCGUCGUCGUUGUCCUCGUCUCGCCUGUGCGCAUCUGCAUGCGUGUGUGUGUGUGUCUCUGUGAGGUGUCUGAUGUGCCAGUCACGUAUUCGCCCAUGCCUCUCUCUUACGUACACCCUAACCCUCGCACUGCCCUUGGAGCUGCUCUGCCUUUCCGUGUGCCACUUGCGCAGUAAAAUCAAAACGAAAAGGGCAUGAGCAAGGCAGGGUGAAAAAAAGCUCGCGGCACCUCCUUGCGCACCAGCGCGCAUGCUCUCCUCUCCUCUCUUGCUGCUGCUGCUGCUUUCUGUUCAGGUGCUUCCUCGCACUCUGGCCUUCAGUGUGCGGGUAGCGUCGGGAAAGAGGGGGACUGGUGUGCGCGUCUAUGUGCCGGCAGGCAAGCAAGCCCGCACCCACGUCCGCAGGCGCGUAGGGAUAGGCAGGCAGGCAGACAGACAGAGAGACUCGUGCGCGGCCGCAUCGUGUUCACCCUCCCACGCCCUUCACCGAAAUCAAGCAGGAAAGCAGGCGAAAAAAAAACGAAAGAAGCGAACACGCAAAAGACCUCUGCCGCGCUGCCAGGGCGACGGCCUUGUACGAUAGCGAGCCCACGUUAGGAGUCGUGGACGCAGCUAAUGGCACAGUUGCAGCUAACGCCCGUAUGCGGGAUUUAUACCUGUGCGUGAACGGGAUUAGGCAGGGCAUUACACCACCACCACCACCACCUUCCACACAUGUGCACGCGUGCCCGUCUAAAGCGACCCCGUUCCCCCCUUUUGUACAUGUAUGCACAUAACGUGCUCUGAGCCGUCUCUUUCCAUUCUUGGCUCUCCUUCUCUCCUGCUUGUCCACCUUUUUCGAUGCUUGUGCUCACGGCAAG
rnacentral:misc_RNA from 1 species